rnacentral:rRNA from 1 species
GACGAACGCUGGCGGCGUGCUUAACACAUGCAAGUCGAGCGGAAAGGCCCUUUCGGGGGUACUCGAGCGGCGAACGGGUGAGUAACACGUGAGUAAUCUGCCCUUGGCUUUGGGAUAACCACCGGAAACGGUGGCUAAUACCGGAUAUGACGCGCUCCGGCAUCGGGGUGUGUGGAAAGUUUUUUCGGCCAGGGAUGUGCUCGCGGCCUAUCAGCUUGUUGGUGGGGUAAUGGCCUACCAAGGCUUCGACGGGUAGCGGGCCUGAGAGGGUGACCGGCCACACUGGGACGGAGACCCGGCCCAGACUCCUACGGGAGGCAGCAGUGGGGAAUAUUGGACAAUGGGCGGAAGCCUGAUCCAGCAACGCCGCGUGAGGGAUGACGGCCUUCGGGUUGUAAACCUCUUUCAGUACCGACGAAGCGCCGAUGAUGGUGGUGACGGUAGGUACAGAAGAAGCACCGGCCAACUACGUGCCAGCAGCCGCCGUAA